rnacentral:rRNA from 1 species
AUUGAACGCUGGCGGCAUGCUUUACACAUGCAAGUCGAACGGCAGCGCGGGCUUCGGCCUGGCGGCGAGUGGCGAACGGGUGAGUAAUGCAUCGGAACGUGCCCAGUAGUGGGGGAUAGCGCGGCGAAAGCCGGAUUAAUACCGCAUACGACCUGAGGGUGAAAGCGGGGGACCGAAAGGCCUCGCGCUAUUGGAGCGGCCGAUGUCGGAUUAGCUAGUUGGUGGGGUAAAGGCUUACCAAGGCGACGAUCCGUAGCUGGUCUGAGAGGACGACCAGCCACACUGGGACUGAGACACGGCCCAGACUCCUACGGGAGGCAGCAGUGGGGAAUUUUGGACAAUGGGCGCAACCCUGAUCCAGCCAUGCCGCGUGUGGGAAGAAGGCCUUCGGGUUGUAAACCGCUUUUGUUCGGGAAGAAAUCCUCUGGGCUAAUACCCCGGGGGGAUGACGGUACCGGAAGAAUAAGCACCGGCUAACUACGUG